AUUGAACGCUGGCGGUAUGCCUUACACAUGCAAGUCGAACGGCAGCACGGGAGCAAUCCUGGUGGCGAGUGGCGAACGGGUGAGUAAUAUAUCGGAACGUGCCCGGUCGUGGGGGAUAACGUAGCGAAAGCUACGCUAAUACCGCAUACGAUCUACGGAUGAAAGCGGGGGAUCGCAAGACCUCGCGCGAUUGGAGCGGCCGAUAUCAGAUUAGGUAGUUGGUGAGGUAAAGGCUCACCAAGCCGACGAUCUGUAGCUGGUCUGAGAGGACGACCAGCCACACUGGGACUGAGACACGGCCCAGACUCCUACGGGAGGCAGCAGUGGGGAAUUUUGGACAAUGGGCGCAAGCCUGAUCCAGCAAUGCCGCGUGCAGGAAGAAGGCCUCGGUUGU
rnacentral:rRNA from 1 species